ncrna:Patiria miniata microRNA pmi-mir-252a precursor
GCUCUGUUCUAAGUACUAGUGCCGCAGUUGUUCCAUUGAUUUCAAGACAUCAACUGCUACUCUGGUGCUUAACACGGGGU